AUUGAACGCUGGCGGCAUGCCUUACACAUGCAAGUCGAACGGCAGCGCGGACUUCGGUCUGGCGGCGAGUGGCGAACGGGUGAGUAAUACAUCGGAACGUACCCUGUUGUGGGGGAUAACUAGUCGAAAGAUUAGCUAAUACCGCAUACGACCUGAGGGUGAAAGUGGGGGACCGCAAGGCCUCACGCCGCAGGAGCGGCCGAUGUCUGAUUAGCUAGUUGGUGGGGUAAAGGCCCACCAAGGCGACGAUCAGUAGCUAGUCUGAGAGGACGAUCAGCCACACUGGGACUGAGACACGGCCCAGACUCCUACGGGAGGCAGCAGUGGGGAAUUUUGGACAAUGGGGGCAACCCUGAUCCAGCAAUGCCGCGUGUGUGAAGAAGGCCUUCGGGUUGUAAAGCACUUUUGCCCGGAAAGAAAUCGCGCUGGUUAAUACCUGGCGUGGAUGACGGUACCGGAAGAAUAAGCACCGGCUAACUACGUG
rnacentral:rRNA from 1 species